CUUCUGACUAUUGCGAUGGGGGGACGGAGAAGGCUAGGUGGGCCAGGCGACGGUUGUCCUGGUUCAAGUGCGUAGGCUUGAGAGUUAGGUAAAUCCGGCUCUCUCUAAGGCUGAGACACGACGUCGAGCUACUACGGUAGUGAAGUCAUUGAUGCCAUGCUUCCAGGAAAAGCCUCUAAGCUUCAGAUAGUCAGGAAUCGUACCCCAAACCGACACAGGUGGUCGGGUAGAGAAUACCAAGGCGCUUGAGAGAACUCGGGUGAAGGAACUAGGCAAAAUGGUACCGUAACUUCGGGAGAAGGUACGCUCUUGAUGGUGAAGUCCCUCGCGGAUGGAGCUGACGAGAGUCGCAGAUACCAGGUGGCUGCAACUGUUUAUUAAAAACACAGCACUGUGCAAAAUCGCAAGAUGACGUAUACGGUGUGACGCCUGCCCGGUGCCGGAAGGUUAAUUGAUGGGGUUAGCGCAAGCGAAGCUCUUGAUCGAAGCCCCGGUAAACGGCGGCCGUAACUAUAACGGUCCUAAGGUAGCGAAAUUCCUUGUCGGGUAAGUUCCGACCUGCACGAAUGGCGUAAUGAUGGCCACGCUGUCUCCACCCGAGACUCAGUGAAAUUGAAAUCGCUGUGAAGAUGCAGUGUACCCGCGGCUAGACGGAAAGACCCCGUGAACCUUUACUACAGCUUGGCACUGAACAUUGAACCUACAUGUGUAGGAUAGGUGGGAGGCUAUGAAGACGUGACGCCAGUUGCGUUGGAGCCGUCCUUGAAAUACCACCCUUGUAUGUUUGAUGUUCUAACUUAGACCCGUUAUCCGGGUUGAGGACAGUGCCUGGUGGGUAGUUUGACUGGGGCGGUCUCCUCCCAAAGAGUAACGGAGGAGCACGAAGGUGGGCUAAUCACGGUUGGACAUCGUGAGGUUAGUGCAAUGGCAUAAGCCCGCUUAACUGCGAGAAUGACGGUUCGAGCAGGUGCGAAAGCAGGUCAUAGUGAUCCGGUGGUUCUGUAUGGAAGGGCCAUCGCUCAACGGAUAAAAGGUACUCCGGGGAUAACAGGCUGAUACCGCCCAAGAGUUCAUAUCGACGGCGGUGUUUGGCACCUCGAUGUCGGCUCAUCACAUCCUGGGGCUGAAGUCGGUCCCAAGGGUAUGGCUGUUCGCCAUUUAAAGUGGUACGCGAGCUGGGUUUAGAACGUCGUGAGACAGUUCGGUCCCUAUCUGCCGUGGGCGUUGGAAGAUUGAAGGGGGCUGCUCCUAGUACGAGAGGACCGGAGUGGACGAACCUCUGGUGUUCGGGUUGUGUCGCCAGACGCAUUGCCCGGUAGCUAAGUUCGGAAUUGAUAAGCGCUGAAAGCAUCUAAGCGCGAAGCGAGCCCUGAGAUGAGUCUUCCCUGACAGUUUAACUGUCCUAAAGGGUUGUUCGAGACUAGAACGUUGAUAGGCAGGGUGUGUAAGCGUUGUGAGGCGUUGAGCUAACCUGUACUAAUUGCCCGUGAGGCUUAACCAU
rnacentral:rRNA from 1 species